UUAAGUUCAGCGGGUAUUCCUACCUGAUCCGAGGUCAACCUGUAAAAGUUUUGGGGGUUUUACGGCAAGAGUCCCUCCGGAUCCCAGUGCGAGACGUUAAGUUACUACGCAAAGGAGGCUCCGGGAGGGUCCGCCACUACCUUAAGGGCCUACGUCGACCGUAGGGCCCCAACACCAAGCAGGGCUUGAGGGUUGAAAUG
rnacentral:misc_RNA from 1 species